rnacentral:tRNA from 1 species
UUGAUUGAAGCCAAAAUAUAGAGGCAUUCUAUUGUUAAUGGAAAGAUUGAAUUUAUUCCAAUCAAG